rnacentral:rRNA from 1 species
GAUGAACGCUGACAGAAUGCUUAACACAUGCAAGUCUUUGGCGAAGCUGUGCUUGCACAGCCUAGCCAAGGCGGACGGGUGAGUAACGCGUAAGGAACUUGCCCUGCAGUCAGGGAUAACAGACGGAAACGACUGAUAGACCUGGUAAAGUCAGGCGGACUCAUGUCCAGCCUGAUGAAAAGUGAUGCUGCAGGAGAGCCUUGCGUCCUAUUAGCUUGUUGGUGGGGUAACGGCCCACCAAGGCGAUGAUAGGUAGCCGGCCUGAGAGGGUGGACGGCCACAAGGGGACUGAGAUACGGCCCUUACUCCUACGGGAGGCAGCAGUGGGGAAUAUUGGACAAUGGGGGCAACCCUGAUCCAGCAAUUCUGUGUGCACGAUGAAGGUUUUCGGAUUGUAAAGUGCUUUCAGCAGGGAAGAAAAAAAUGACGGUACCUGCAGAAGAAGCGACGGCUAAAUACGUG